rnacentral:pre_miRNA from 7 species
UCUGGUGAGGUGCAGAGCUUAGCUGAUUGGUGAACAGUGAUUGUUUCCCUCUUUGUUCACAGUGGCUAAGUUCUGCACCUGAA